rnacentral:rRNA from 1 species
CCUGGUUGAUCCUGCCAGUAGUCAUAUGCUUGUCUCAAAGAUUAAGCCAUGCAUGUGUAAGCACACACUGUGUUAAAAGUGAAGCCGCGAAUGGCUCAUUACAACAGCCACAGUUUAUUAGAACUUACUCUCAUGGAUAACUGUGGUAAUUCUAGAGCUAAUACACGCACAAAAACUUCAACUGAAUUGGUUGAAGUGCUUUUAUUAGAACAAAAACCGAACGGCGUUUGAUGAAUGUUGAACGUCGAAACUGUUUGGUGAAUCUGAAUAACUAUUUCUGAUCGCAUGGUCUAGCACCGGCGACAUCACUUUCAAGUGUCUGCCUUAUCAACCUUCGAUGGUAGUCUAUGCGACUACCAUGGUGAUAACGGGUAACGGAGAAUCAGGGUUCGACUCCGGAGAGGGAGCCUGAGAAACGGCUACCACAUCCAAGGAAGGCAGCAGGCGCGCAAAUUACCCACUCCCAGCUUGGGGAGGUAGUGACGAAAAAUAACGAGACGAUUCUCGUUUGAGAAACGUUAUCGAAAUGAGUACGCUUUACACACGCUAACGAGUAGCAAUUGGAGGGCAAGUCUGGUGCCAGCAGCCGCGGUAAUUCCAGCUCCAAUAGCGUAUAUUAAAGUUGCUGCGGUUAAAACGCUCGUAGUUGAAUUGUGGUCUUAGACAACAGUCCCCCUACAUAGGUGUGGCACGGUUGCUCGAGAUCUUCAUUCGUGGUUGCUGUUGUUGCUCUUGAUUGAGUGUCAAUGGUGCCUCGAGAUUUUACUUUGAAAAAAUUAGAGUGCUCAAAGCAGGUUGUGAUGCCUGAAUAAUGGUGCAUGGAAUAAUAGAAUACGAUCUCGGUUCUAUUUUGUUGGUUUUCGAACUGGAGAUAAUGAU